UACGGAGGGGGCGAGCGUUGUUCGGAAUCACUGGGUGUAAAGGGUGCGUAGGCGGUCCGAUAAGUCGAACGUGAAAUCCCCGGGCUCAACCCGGGAACUGCGUCCGAGACUGGCGGGCUUGAAUUCGGGAGAGGGAUGCGGAAUUCCAGGUGUAGCGGUGAAAUGCGUAGAUAUCUGGAGGAACACCGGUGGCGAAGGCGGCAUCCUGGACCGAUAUUGACGCUGAUGCGCGAAAGCCAGGGGAGCAAACGGG
rnacentral:rRNA from 1 species